AUGUACCACGGCGUACACCCCGGUUCCUCCGCGCCGUCCGCACCCGCCUGACGACCGCCCGCUACGCUUGGUUAGCC
rnacentral:sRNA from 1 species